rnacentral:tRNA from 1 species
GGGCGCGUGGCUCAGGGGAUAGAGCAAUAGAUUCCGGUUCUAUAGGUCGUGUGUUCAAAUCACACCGCGCUCA